UACAGAGGGUGCGAGCGUUAAUCGGAAUUACUGGGCGUAAAGCGUGCGCAGACGGUUGCGUAAGUCAGAUGUGAAAGCCCCGGGCUCAACCUGGGAAUUGCAUUUGAGACUGCGUAGCUAGGGUGCGGAAGAGGGAAGCGGAAUUUCCGGUGUAGCGGUGAAAUGCGUAGAUAUCGGAAGGAACACCAGUGGCGAAGGCGGCUCACUGGUCCGGUACUGACGCUGAGGUGGCGAAAGCGUGGGGAGCAAACAGG
rnacentral:rRNA from 1 species